CAGGAAGUGACAAACACACACGCACACCGAACAGGAAAGAAGUAGACGGUCAAAAGGAUGAUGGAAGAUGGAACCUUUGUAGGUUUCUGUAACUUCCUGGCUGACUUGUUUGAGGCCAUCAGUAAAUUCAGCCUUCUCCUUCAAAGGAAUGAUAUCAUCUUGCCUCAGGUAAGGCUAAAGUUUAAGCUAAAUUAAAUCAGAAUAGGAUUAAUUCUAAUCAGAUUAUGUUUAUUUUUUUUUCCCCCUUAUUGUUCUAAUUUCUAAGGAAAAUGUUUUAGAGGCUGUCAGCGGGAUUGAAAAUCUCACUGAGACUGUUGAGGCCAUGGCAGUCAGAUGCAUGCCAGGUGGUAGGCUAGCAGAGCUACAGACAGAUCAUCGGGCUCAGAAACGAAGGAAGGAGGAUGAUGCUGAGAUUCACCCUGUAUACAAAUAUCAGACGAAGAGUCCACAGCAACAGCAACCACAAAGACAGUGAGGUAAUUUAAGAUCUUCAGUCAUGAUUCCUGGCCAGAGCAGAGAGACCAGCUGAUAGACUAUGGUGCAGAGGAGCUGGACUUCCUGCUGGACCAUUUCUCCACCAUAUUAACAAGGUCAAUGACUCAGGGAAGUGGUAGCACAGUGGUGGGAAGUGGUAGCUCAGCAGUUAAGAUGUUGGACAUCUGAUCGGAAGCCCUUAACCAUCAACUGCUCAGUUGUAAUAAAAUGAGAUAAUUGUAAGUCACUCUGGAAGAGAGCGUCUGCCAAAUGCUGUAAUGUAAUGUAACGCUGUAAUGACUCUUUAAAUCAUCCUGGCAGAGGAUAUAAAAGACACCAUAACAAAGAACAUAAUUUCACACACCUAACUCGAUCCUACAGAAACUUAGAUUGUUUGGUCAUCUUUUUCUUAACUCCUUUCAGAAAUGGCUGUAACACCAAUCUGGCUAGAGAGGCGUAUCAGUCCACGAAGAUGUUAAUCUCCAGAAACUACAUGGAUAAAUCCUACCAGGCCCUAUGGGAGAUGAUGCAAAAAAAGUUGCCAUUCUACUCUGAUUACAAGAACAUCCUACAUCUGUGCACAUUAUGCUGGUCCUCCCCGUCUCCUUUGCUGUGUGUGAAAGGGCACAGAAGGGUAUUAAAUCUGAUGUCAGGGGGUCCCUGCAUAUAGACACACUCAUUAGAAUAAGUAUGACCGGACCUAGCUUGGAAGAGUUUGACGCCAAGGAGGCUGUACACAGUCAGUGUAAAAGAUCAAGGAAGCCCAACUAUAAGGGUUGGCCGUCAGAGCCUCCCACAGGAGGAUGUGCUCUGAGGGAGAGUAAGGAGAGGCACAGGCUGUUCUGAUGCUGUAAUGACAGCAAAGUAACUACUGACCAGUGACCACUUACCUCAUGUUUACAUUUAUUGUAUUUGUUUUGUUUGGAUUUU
ensembl:lncRNA